CACAUCAUCUGUCGUCCGCGUUUGCUUGGGACAAGUCGACUGGAAGCUGUCAGAAGCGUUGCCAGUUGCCUAGACAGCAUCCCUGCUGUGAGCCUGAUCACAGAGCAGCUGAUCAUAUCCCCUAACACAUCUGCACUGAACCCUAGCCCAUUGUGUCGCCCUCGCGAAGGCAGACAACAACAGCCGCACCUGCAGUCAAGUAUUGAGGCUAAAUCCCCCUUUGGUGUGCACAACGACGUCAACGUGACUGAUAUGGGGCUGGGCUUCAGCGGCUGCUCCCAGCAAAGUUCGCCUAGGGAGGCCGCUGCGCAGCGGACCUCGAUAGAGGGUCACCGCGACGCAUCUCGAUGCAUUUCCAACAGCACGAAGUUGCAGUCGAUGAACGGGCUGGAUCGCGAUGCUUCGCUGCGCGGCGCUGAUGAUGCGGCACGCGGCGCUGCAGGAUCGCAGAUACGCGCUGCAAGCCUGACGGCGCCAGGGCCGGAAGUGGAUGAUGCGCACUGGGUGUUUCAGAGACCGCCGAACAACCAGCGCACCUUCUACUUUCAGGAGGACAAUCUUGAGUUCUCGUCACAGUUCGACAGCGGCAACUUGAUUCAGGUGGAGCGGGUGGGCGUCUUCCACUACCGCAUGUACACGGCAAUGGACUGCGGCAACGCACCAUGGCAGACCAACAACCGCCAGUGGUUUCACUUCUCGGUCCGCGGCGGCAGCAAGGGCGCCGUCGUCACGAUUUGCUUUGUCGGCAUGGCACACAGCAAUAUGUUCACCUAUGAUUGGAUGCCGGUCAUGGCCGUUGUGCCUACGCGACCGCAGUACACUCGCAUCGCUGGAAAGGCGCACGUGGAGGCCCUUGAGAAAAUGCCAGAGACUCCCGGCUAUCCUCUGCUUGUGCACAAGCCCGUGUCGAAGGACGACGCCGACAGUGACGGUGGCGGCGAUGAGGGUGACAACGACGCCGAUGCCGGCGCUGCUGGCGCCAAUAACAAUGGAGGCGCUGGCGGAAUCGCUUUCUCCAUCUCGCCUACGGGCAGGUCCUCUGGAACCAGCAAGAAGAAAAAGACUAAAAAGAAGAGCAUUGCUAUGAACCUCACCUUCAACUUCAAAAUUGAGACAGAGAUCGCGGUAACGUACACGCCGCCGCAGGGGCGUCCAGACUCGCCCGCGAUCUACAUUGCAAGCAACCACCCUUAUACCUACUACACACUGCAACGCAACCUUGCGAUGUGGCAAGAGACGGCGCGACGAAGUAACACUUUGCGGGAGAUGAGUCUGCAGGCACCCGAUCACCAAGCGCGGCGCUCCAGCUCCGAGCAGCGUAGCGGGCCGGACUCAUACGCCGUAGACGGCCUGGCCACAGUUCAGCCUGGAAGCAGCGGAAGGAGUAAGAAAUGGGUUGGAAGUUUCAACACCGGCAACGUUGCUGUUCAAUACUCUGCGGAGUUCAGCGAGAUCUAUUUCCACCGCGAGGUUCUCUGCAAAUCACUGGAGGGGCGCGACGUUACACUGCUGACUAUUAGCGACUGCAGCCGCAUGGCGAUAGAGCGGGCACCCCUCCUUUCAAAGGAAGACGGCCUUCCCCACUCCUCGGCUCUCGGCUUUACGCAGCGUCCGUACUCCUUUUUUGGCAAGCAGUACGUCGUGCUGACGGCUCGUGUACAUCCAGGCGAAUGCCCAGGCAGCCAUCUUAUGCACGGCUGUAUUGAUUUUCUCAUGAACUGCACAGACUGUAGAGCGGCGGCGCUGCGGCACAACUUUGUCUUUUGCGUGGUCCCGAUGUUGAACCCGGACGGCGUUGUUCGCGGCCACAGCCGCGUCGACUCAAACGGCGUCGAUCUCAACCGCAUGUACAGGGACCCGUCGCGUAAGCGACACCCUGCACCAUACGCGGUUCUCGCCCUGCUGCGGUCACUGGGCAGCCGCGUGGCACUUUUCAUUGACAUGCACGCACAUGCCAAUAAGCGAGGCACCUUCUUUUACGGUAACAGCAUGGACUGGGCCAACCAAAUAGAAAACCUGCUCUACGCAAAGCUGGUCUCGCUUAACACGCCCUAUCUCGACUUCCGCAGCUGCAACUUCUCGGAGGCAAACAUGUUCGCCGUCAGCAAGUCUGGCAAGCGCAAGGACUCCUCCAGUCGCGUUGUGGCCUUUACCGAGGCCGGUAUCGUGCACGGCUACACCAUCGAGACCUCGCACGUGAUGGCCGACGCACUGAAUCCAGUCGCCCUCCUGACGAAUCAUCAAACCGACCAGCUGGAUACUGCCCUUCCAAGUCCACCGCCUGUUAUGCACUCACCGGCAACCUUUCGCGACACUGCUCGUGCGAUGCUGCUGGGACUGCUGGACCUUAAGGGUAUCAACCCCAAAAGUCGCCUGCCCUUGACACAAUUUCACUCCACCCGCGGACUGGCUCUUUGGCUGCAGCGGCAGCUGCAGAUCGAGUCCGCGGAGACACUUUUUGCGCAGGCCUUCAAGCUGCACGGCAAGGAGGCUCAGGCUUCCACCAGCGAGUCUGGGAACACUCUGCUCGCGACCAUCAUGAAGAGCAUGGCGGCAGAGGAGUAUCCCGAGAAGAUCACCAUCAGGGAGGCGCGAUUGCUACCCCGCACCACCUUCAGCGGUGUUCGCAGCUUUGUCCCACUGGAUACGGCAAUCGUGCUGCUGUCGCAAACCGUGCCAACGGGGCCGCCGCGCUCGCUUUUGUAUGGCAGCGGCAACUGUGGAGCGGCAAGCGGCGCUGCCGCUGCCGGGGGAACCGGCAGCAAAGGCGGCGGCAGUGCUCAGCGCCGUGGCACGUCUCCCUCCUUUAGUGGGAACAACUGCACGACUGCGAUCCCUCCGGCGGUGAUUGCGACGCGGCGCCGUUCGAAGCCCAUGCUUCUCUCCAGCGAUACAACUGUCGAAACGUAGCAGUGCUGUUACUCGGCACCCGAAAGCGUUUCUGGAUUUUGGUUUUCUUUUUGCUCAGCAGCGCCCGAGUGACGUUACCCUACGUCCGCAACGGCUCCACCCCACUCUUCGUUUCAUGGGUAACGUGCUGGGCCAUACUCAUAACCGCACUCGCUGAAUGGCACAGCUUGUCUAUCCUUUGUACGCCACCGAAACAGGUGCCGUCUUUUUCUUUCGCGCGACAUCUUCCUAGCUGGUGCACGCCGCCGCCGCAGGUGAUAGUGAGAAAUAUGGAGCCAGGCGCGCUCGUGUGAGUACUGUGUUGCCCUUCUGAAGUUGCGGCUUCUGUGUCACUCUGCUCAUAUGAUUUCUGUUCCCUUUUUUUUGCUCCACGGACCCCUCUUCGCGCACUUGUGGAGAGGGGGAGUUCAUAAAGUCAGCUCGCACGCUCUCUGUUGUUGUUGUGGAUGUGCUGGUACGCCUUUUGUUUAUCCUUUUACGCUUCCAGUUUGUAAUGUACAUGAGAUUGGCUCGUUUUUUUUUCGCGUUUUUUUGUUGUUGUUGUGUAUGUUUAUGUCGGAGGGGGGAGGAGAACUCCAUCGUGCAUUGUCCACUUACAUGCGCAUCACCCAUCAAGCGCGUCCAUCAACUUCCUCUUUGUUGUUGCUGCGUUGGCCCCUCCUCGUCAGCUGGAAGAAAGGCAAAAAACACAAACGUACAAUCUCCCUGUUAGCGUGUGCGCGCGUCUUUAGCCCGUGAGCUCAGGGAUGGCACUUUUUCUUUGUUUGGAGGGCGGGCGGCACAGACAUGGACGAAGUGCUCAUCUCCACGUGCGUGCGUACAGGCGACGUGGCCAGCGUGCACAUGAUGGGAGAUACGCACUUAUAAAUGCGCACACUGGCACAUGCUGUGCAGCAGUGGAUUCGUCUUUUAGAGUUUUUCAGUGCGCGCCGCUCUAUCAUCCAUCGUGCUCUCCCUUCUCUUGUUUCCUUAGUUCAAAUCACCAUUUUUGUGUGUGUGUGCUUUUUUAUCUUUCUCUUGCGUGCGUGCCUGCACGCGCUGACACCUUAUGCUUCGCUGCUGUGACUACGUUGUCUGUGCCUUGCGUGUUUUGCCUUGCCAAUCGCCUUUGCUCUAAUUUCUGAAGCGCUCUCCUUUCGUCUCGAUCACAUACAAAGUGUGGUGAUUCCCGGGUGCGCUCAGCAGUUUUGCGCGUCUUAUGGUGGUGCUGUUGGCAUGUGCUGCUCUCUCUCUCUCUCACUUGUGGGUGCCUGCGGGUCUGGUUCUGUUUUCCGGCGGUCGUGCGUCUUUCCAGGACCCAUGCGUGGGCCGCGACCCUCUUCGGUACUGUCGCGACUUGGAAGCAGCACCGGCAAAAGCUGACGGCGAGAUAUUGUGACCUUCCACCGCUCACUUGUGCGCCUUUUCGCUGUUGUUGAUGAUGGUGCCAUUUGAUGAGGAUAACGCGAAACAUGUGAGGAACGAGGAGCGAUCUCUUAGUUUUUGCAGCAGGUGCACGGCGUCGUGCCUGAGAAUAAGCUCUCACGCCGUACCGCUCACGUGAGGGGGUUGCGGCUCUCUACGUACGCACCUGUUGUGGAACACUCAUGUUAUCGUUCACUGAUUGCUCCCUCCUACAUGCUCAGUGAUAAGAGUGAGAUGUGUAUUUGAGCGGCUAAGUGCUGUGGACCAGCCCUCGCCACUCACCUCACCGGCAUCAUUCGUAAUUCCUCUCCGCCUCUACUCUCUUGCUUUCCCUCACGCUCUUCUUCUGAUCAACAUCGCCGUGUGAGGGGUACACACAACCGCACGCCGAAAAAAAAACGUCCAUUUGUGUGCGAUUCGACCGCAUGUUGCUGUGCUUGUCAUGAAUCAUGGCUGUGAAAAUGCUCGUCAUGCCUAGGAAACACGAAAAG
rnacentral:misc_RNA from 1 species